rnacentral:SRP_RNA from 1 species
GCCAGGUGUGGUGGUGUGCACCUGUAGUCCCAGCUACCUGGGAGGCUGAGAUGGGAGGAUUGCUUGAGCCCAGGAGUUUGAGGCUGUAGUGAGCGCUAUGAUCACGCCACUGCACUCCAGCCCAGGCAACAGAGCAAGACCUUUUCUCAA